UAUUUCAACAAAAUAUUAAGUACUUUAUUUGAAGAGGGGGACACGUAACAGCUGAAAAGCUGACAAACCUGUGGCCCUCUAACUAGAUUAUACAGGAUUACAAAAAACUGAUAAUGAAAAAAUAUAUAAAUAAUUACAAAAUUCUAUGAUAAAAAUAGCCGGACAUA